AUGGCAAACUGCUUCCAGAGGCCGUCGACGACGGUGCCCGCGGCCCUUAUGAGCGAGGACGAGAUCCUCCAGCCAGCCAACCUCAGAAGUUUCACCUUUAAGGACCUCAAUAAGGCCAUGAGGAACUUCCGGCCGGAUAGCGUGCUCCGUGGGAGCGGCUUUGGAUCAAUCUUGAAAGGGUGGGCUAACGAAGCCUCCUUCGCCCGGGCUAGCUCUGGCACUGGCAUGCCCAUCGCCAUCAAGAAGCUCAACCAGGAAAACUUCCAGAUCCAUAAGGAAUGGCUGGAUGAGACGAGUCACCUAGGCCGAUCGUCCCAUCCCAAUCUAGUGAAGCUACUAGGGUAUUGCCUCGAAGACGAGCAACACAUACUUGUCUGGGCCUCACAUCUCCAACCACUGUCAUGGGAUUUGAGGGUGAAGGUUGCUCUUGGGGCAGCCAAAGGGGUCACAUUCCUCCACAGCGACAAGGCCAAUGUCAUCUGCGGUGAUUUCAAGACAUCAGACAUUCUUCUUGAUUCGAGCUACAAUGCAAAGCUGUCUGAUUUUGGGAAGCAAAAGGAAGAACCAACUAUUGAUCUGAGCUUUUAUAUUGAUGAAUUGCCGAGCUACUAUGCAAAAAGGCUGUCUGAUCUUGGGUUGUUGACUGGUAAUACAGAGCUUGGAGCUUAG
rnacentral:rRNA from 1 species